GAAUUAAUGUCUUUUUAUAAUCAAGUCGUAUUUUCAUACCCUGUAUGUUCAAUUUCCUGAAAAACUCUCCUUUCUACCUAAAAUUUGCAUAUCUGUUUUCUAGUAAAUCUGGUAGAACUGUUUGAGAGAAAGCAUUGAGGUAGAUCAGCUAAAGUAUUUCACAGGCUUAGGCGUGUAAAAUGAGUUGCAGUACCUAUUUUGCAAUAGCUUCCUCCAUUUUUAACCUAUGUCUCAAAGCUAUCUUGUUUUAGGAGCACCAGCCUUCGGGAGGGUGCAGAUUGCAGGAGAUAUGUCCUGUUGACUUUGAAUUUAAAUAAGUUAGUCAUGCAGUAGCUCACCUUUUAAGUUUAGCAAGAAGUCAGUUCAAGGCUAGCAGAUAGGUUUGGCACCUGUUUCUAGUGGUGAAACUGUAAGACCCGUGAGCCAAAUAUCUGAUUUGAAAGGUAAGUUAAACUGUACUGAGAAAUCCUAAGUUAAGGUGGCACUAAGGAUGCAGUCAGAAUCCUAUAAACUGCCCGUGGGCGGGUUCACUUCUGCUUUCUGGUGUCAGUAAGGUGGGCUGGUAUCUUCUCACUCCUCUGUCAUAUCUUACGGCACUCACCUUCCCUAUGUGCAGAAAAUCUCUCCUAUUGAUUCAGCAGAAUCAGCUGCACUAUGACAGCUCGGAUUAAAAUCUUUGCAGAGAGGGAGUAGACUGCCCAGCCACACUUUCAGGAAACCCAGAUGAGAGAGGACAUCAGGAUCACUUGUGUCUGGCCCAGCUUCCAGAAGUGCAGGAUGAAGGAGAGAGACAUGAGAAGAGUUUGCAUAAAUUAACUGGAAAAAUUGGUUCUUAUGUCAUGCAAAAGACAUCUGAGAGCUACUGAACAUCAAAUGAAUGAAAGGAAGAUGAGGAAUAGGAAGGUUAAUAGAUGAAUUAAAAAAAAGGUGAGAAAACUUCACACAAGGGAGAAAAUAAGACUACCGAGCCAAACUAGAUAUUCAAGAGGCUUUUAAAAACAUAUAUAUCAGAAACGGAAAGAGGAGUCAAGGAGCCAGCAGAGCUUUUAAGACAGGAUGGGGCACCAAGACUGGUGAGAGACUAAGGGGGAUACUGCUAAUACUGAUCAUUUGCCUCAGGGCUCACAAAAGCUGAGGACAGAAGAGAAAUUCAUUUCCCAGAGGAGGGAAAAAGAAGUAGUGAGUGAUCUCAGGG
rnacentral:lncRNA from 1 species